rnacentral:lncRNA from 1 species
AGGAUUCUCUGGAAGAAUAGAAGAGGGGUUUAUCUUUUGUCUUAUUUUCUAAACUUCUGGGGCCAUCUUGCAUGACCUUCAGUUAGAAAAUAAACUUUCUUGAAUGAAAGAAUUCCCUUGUGCCAGCUAUUGUAUUCGAUACAAUUCAUCUACGUGUAUGUAGACCCUGACAAAAAAAAAAAAAAAUUCAUACGGACCAAAUUCUAGGUAAAAAAUGUUUCUACGGGUUAAGAAAAGCAGGAGUUACNUUAUUUUCUAAACUUCUGGGGCCAUCUUGCAUGACCUUCAGUUAGAAAAUAAACUUUCUUGAAUGAAAGAAUUCCCUUGUGCCAGCUAUUGUAUUCGAUACAAUUCAUCUACGUGUAUGUAGACCCUGACAAAAAAAAAAAAAAAUUCAUACGGACCAAAUUCUAGGUAAAAAAUGUUUCUACGGGUUAAGAAAAGCAGGAGUUACAAAAAGCUUCUAUUUCUCUCAAACAAACGGGCGCAAUGAUUCACUUUGCUUCCGAUUUUAUUUGCUUCUGUCACUUAAAAC